ACAAAGAGAAUGUAUUAGUUUAGAGAUCACAUACGGUAUAUUUAAACAUUAGCACCACCAACUGUACGUCUAGUUGAUCGAAGGCACACUUUAUUUAACCAGGAAGAGACCAUGGAGGUUAGAACACUCAUGUGACAGCGUUAGUUUAACUCAUGAUCUACAAUGCAGAAGUCAAUGACCACCACACACAAUUACACCAAAUUGCAUUUUUGUUCAGUGUGCACACACAUGUGUGUAGGUAUGAAAUAUGUGUGUGUGUGUACACACACACACACACACACACAGAACAAAAACAUAAAAUGCAAUAUUUAAAGUGUUGGUCCCAUGUCUCAACAGCUGAAAUAAAAGAACGCAGAAAUGUUCCACACUGACAAAAAGUGUAUUUCUCUCAAAUUUUGUGCACAAAUGUAUUUACAUUCCUGUUAGUGAACAUUUCUCCUUUUCCAAGAUAAUCCAUCCACCUCACAGGUGUGGCAUAUCAAGAAGCUGAUUAAACUCCAUUAUCAUUACAUAGGUGCACCUUGUGCUGGGGACAAUAAAGGGCCAGUCUAAAAAGAAUUGCAGUUGUCACACAACACCACAGACGUUAAGGGAUAAAAUCGGUUGACCAAUAUGUGAUUAUUAUUAUCUGACCCUGCAGGUCAUCUAUGAACAUUUGAACAUCUUGGCCACGUUCUGUUAUAAUCUCCACCCGGCACAGCCAGAAGAGGACUGGCCACCCCAGAUAGCCUGGUUCCUCUAAGUUUCUUCCUCGGUUCUGACCUUUCUAGGGAGUUUUUCCUAGCCACCGUGCUUCUAUAUCUGCAUUGCUUGCUGUUUGGGGUUUUAGGCUGAGUUUCUGUAAAGUACUUUGUGACAUCGGCUGAUGCAAAAAGGGCUUUAUAAAUACAUUUGAUUGAUUGACCAAUAUAUAUAAUUAUUAUGUAUACACACACAAUAUAUAUAUAUACAUACAUAUACACACACACACACACACACACACGCUGAUAUGAGUCUUUUACAAAAAUAUUUGUAUCUUUAUUCCACAGCUAACGCGCAGAUAUUAUAUAGAUAGAAUAAACAAAUCCGUCUGAAGAGGGCGCUCUAUGGACAGCUCACUGAGCAUCAUUCAGCUCUACGUCACAACGUGAGAAACAGUAGCCAUGGUGACUUGACAGUGAGUAGUUUUCCACAGCCAGCGACAGCAUAUUUGAAUAAGUAAAUAAAGUACACUUCACCAAGCAGCCCUGUCCUUAUCACAUCUUUCACUUCGUUAAUGUUAGCCUAGCUAGCCAGCAAGGUGGUAGUUAGCCUAGCUAGCCAGCAAGGUGGUAGUUAGCCUAGCUAGCCAGCAAGGUGGUAGUUAGCCUAGCUAGCCAGCAAGGUGGUAGUUAGCCUAGCUAGCCAGCAAGGUGGUAGUUAGCCUAGCUAGCCAGCAAGGUGGUAGUUAGCCUAGCUAGCCAGCAAGGUGGUAGUUAGCCUAGCUAGCCAGCAAGGUGGUAGUUAGCCUAGCUAGCCAGCAAGGUGGUAGUUAGCCUAGCUAGCCAGCAAGGUGGUAGUUAGCCUAGCUAGCCAGCAAGGUGGUAGUUAGCCUAGCUAGCCAGCAAGGUGGUAGUUAGCCUAGCUAGCCAGCAAGGUGGUAGUUAGCCUAGCUAGCCAGCAAGGUGGUAGUUAGCCUAGCUAGCCAGCAAGGUGGUAGUUAGCCUAGCUAGCCAGCAAGGUGGUAGUUAGCCUAGCUAGCCAGCAAGGUGGUAGUUAGCCUAGCUAGCCAGCAAGGUGGUAGUUAGCCUAGCUAGCCAGCAAGGUGGUAGUUAGCCUAGCUAGCCAGCAAGGUGGUAGUUAGCCUAGCUAGCCAGCAAGGUGGUAGUUAGCCUAGCUAGCCAGCAAGGUGGUAGUUAGCCUAGCUAGCCAGCAAGGUGGUAGUUAGCCUAGCUAGCCAGCAAGGUGGUAGUUAGCCUAGCUAGCCAGCAAGGUGGUAGUUAGCCUAGCUAGCCAGCAAGGUGGUAGUUAGCCUAGCUAGCCAGCAAGGUGGUAGUUAGC